rnacentral:rRNA from 1 species
GAUGAACGCUGGCGGCGUGCCUAAUACAUGCAAGUCGAGCGAACGGACGAGAAGCUUGCUUUUCUGAUGUUAGCGGCGGACGGGUGAGUAACACGUGGAUAACCUACCUAUAAGACUGGGAUAACUUCGGGAAACCGGAGCUAAUACCGGAUAAUAUUUUGAACCGCAUGGUUCAAAAGUGAAAGACGGUCUUGCUGUCACUUAUAGAUGGAUCCGCGCUGCAUUAGCUAGUUGGUAAGGUAACGGCUUACCAAGGCAACGAUGCAUAGCCGACCUGAGAGGGUGAUCGGCCACACUGGAACUGAGACACGGUCCAGACUCCUACGGGAGGCAGCAGUAGGGAAUCUUCCGCAAUGGGCGAAAGCCUGACGGAGCAACGCCGCGUGAGUGAUGAAGGUCUUCGGAUCGUAAAACUCUGUUAUUAGGGAAGAACAUAUGUGUAAGUAACUGUGCACAUCUUGACGGUACCUAAUCAGAAAGCCACGGCUAACUACGUGCCAGCAGCCGCGGUAAUACGUAGGUGGCAAGCGUUAUCCGGAAUUAUUGGGCGUAAAGCGCGCGUAGCGGUUUUUUAGUCUGAUGUGAAAGCCCACGGCUCAACCGUGGAGGGUCAUUGGAAACUGGAAAACUUGAGUGCAGAAGAGGAAAGUGGAAUUCCAUGUGUAGCGGUGAAAUGCGCAGAGAUAUGGAGGAACACCAGUGGCGAAGGCGACUUUCUGGUCUGUAACUGACGCUGAUGUGCGAAAGCGUGGGGAUCAAACAGGAUUAGAUACCCUGGUAGUCCACGCCGUAAACGAUGAGUGCUAAGUGUUAGGGGGUUUCCGCCCCUUAGUGCUGCAGCUAACGCAUUAAGCACUCCGCCUGGGGAGUACGACCGCAAGGUUGAAACUCAAAGGAAUUGACGGGGACCCGCACAAGCGGUGGAGCAUGUGGUUUAAUUCGAAGCAACGCGAAGAACCUUACCAAAUCUUGACAUCCUUUGACAACUCUAGAGAUAGAGCCUUCCCCUUCGGGGGACAAAGUGACAGGUGGUGCAUGGUUGUCGUCAGCUCGUGUCGUGAGAUGUUGGGUUAAGUCCCGCAACGAGCGCAACCCUUAAGCUUAGUUGCCAUCAUUAAGUUGGGCACUCUAAGUUGACUGCCGGUGACAAACCGGAGGAAGGUGGGGAUGACGUCAAAUCAUCAUGCCCCUUAUGAUUUGGGCUACACACGUGCUACAAUGGACAAUGCAAAGGGCAGCGAAACCGCGAGGUCAAGCAAAUCCCAUAAAGUUGUUCUCAGUUCGGAUUGUAGUCUGCAACUCGACUACAUGAAGCUGGAAUCGCUAGUAAUCGUAGAUCAGCAUGCUACGGUGAAUACGUUCCCGGGUCU